CCUCCCUGGCCCUGGAGGCUUGUCUAGAUUGCGCCGCAUUCCCGCUCAUCGCACACUGCCGUUUCUAACAUUUUCCGUGGCUUUCUAGAUGACCUAUUGUUCAUGCACUUCACUUAGUGCUGUCUUGGACUUUUGGGCCGAGGUUUGCUGGUUGGCUCCCGAGCAGACAGCAGGAAAGAAGAAGCCCUUUGUGUACACCCAGGGCCAGGCUGUCCUAAACCGGGCCUUCUUCCCUUGCUUCGACACGCCUGCUGUUAAAUACAAGUAUUCAGCUCUUAUUGAGGUCCCAGAUGGCUUCACAGCUGUGAUGAGUGCUAGCACCUGGGAGAAGAGAGGUCCAAAUAAGUUCUUCUUCCAGAUGUGUCAGCCCAUCCCCUCCUAUCUGAUAGCUUUGGCCAUCGGAGAUCUGGUUUCGGCUGAAGUUGGACCCAGGAGCCGGGUGUGGGCUGAGCCCUGCCUGAUUGAUGCUGCCAAGGAGGAGUACAACGGGGUGAUAGAAGAAUUUUUGGCAACAGGAGAGAAGCUUUUUGGACCUUAUGUUUGGGGAAGGUGCUGCGUACACCUGCUUGGAGGCUGCAACGGGGCGGGCUCUGCUGCGUCAGCACAUGGACAUCACUGGAGAGGAAAACCCACUCAACAAGCUCCGCGUGAAGAUUGAACCAGGCGUUGACCCGGACGACACCUAUAAUGAGACCCCCUAUGAGAAAGGUUUCUGCUUUGUCUCAUACCUGGCCCACUUGGUGGGUGAUCAGGAUCAGUUUGACAAUUUUCUCAAGGCCUAUGUGCAUGAAUUCAAAUUCCAAAGCAUCUUAGCCGAUGACUUUCUGGACUUCUACUUGGAAUAUUUCCCUGAGCUUAAGAAAAAGAGAGUGGAUAUCAUUCCAGGUUUUGAGUUUGAUCGAUGGCUGAAUAGCCCUGGCUGGCCCCCUUACCUCCCUGAUCUCUCCCUUGGAGACUCACUCAUGAAGCCUGCAGAAGAGCUAGCCCAGCUGUGGGCAGCCGACGAGCUGGACAUGAAGGCCAUUGAGGCUGUGGCCAUCUCUCCCUGGAAGACCUACCAGCUGGUCUA
rnacentral:sRNA from 1 species